UACGUAGGGUGCAGGCGUUAAUCGGAAUUACUGGGCGUAAAGCGUGCGCAGGCGGUUAUGCAAGACAGAUGUGAAAUCCCCGGGCUCAACCUGGGAACUGCAUUUGUGACUGCAUGGCUAGAGUACGGUAGAGGGGGAUGGAAUUCCGCGUGUAGCAGUGAAAUGCGUAGAUAUGCGGAGGAACACCGAUGGCGAAGGCAAUCCCCUGGACCUGUACUGACGCUCAUGCACGAAAGCGUGGGGAGCAAACAGG
rnacentral:rRNA from 1 species